GACAUAGGUGCCGAGCGUUAGGCGGAAUCACUGGGCUUAAAGCGUGUGUAGGCGGUCUUCUAAGUGCCUUGUGAAAUCCCACGGCUUAACCGUGGAACUGCUGGGCAUACUGGUUGUCUUGGGCCAUCUAGGGGCUACUGGAACAAACGGUGGAGCGGUGAAAUGCGUAGAUAUCGUUUGGAACGCCAAUGGUGAAAACAAGUAGCUGGGGAUGUGCCGACGCUGAGACACGAAAGCCAGGGGAGCGAACGGG
rnacentral:rRNA from 1 species